AGGACGAACGCUGGCGGCGUGCUUAACACAUGCAAGUCGAGCGGAAAGGCCCUUCGGGGUACUCGAGCGGCGAACGGGUGAGUAACACGUGAGCAACCUGCCCCUGGCUCUGGGAUAGCCUCCGGAAACGGGGAUUAAUACCGGAUAUUCACUGUCUCCUGCAUGGGGGGUGGUGGAAAGUUUUCGGCUAGGGUGGGCUCGCGGCCUAUCAGCUUGUUGGGGGGGUGACGGCCCACCAAGGCGACGACGGGUAG
rnacentral:rRNA from 1 species